rnacentral:rRNA from 1 species
CAAUAGCGUAUAUUUAAGUUGCUGCAGUUAAAAAGCUCGUAGUUGGAUUUCGGGUGGGAAUGGCCGGUCCGCCGUUUCGGUGUGCACUUGCUACGCCCACCUUGCUGCCGGGGACGUGCUCUUGAGUUCACGCUCGGGACACGGAGUCGGCGAGGUUACUUUGAGUAAAUUAGAGUGUUCAAGCAGGCCUACGCUCUGAAUACAUUAGCAUGGAAUAACACGAUAGGACUCUGGCCUAUCUUGUUGGUCUGUAGGACCGGAGUAAUGAUUAAGAGGGACAGUCGGGGGCAUUCGUAUUUCAUUGUCAGAGGUGAAAUUCUUGGAUUUAUGAAAGACGAACUACUGCGAAAGCAUUUGCCAAGGAUGUUUUCAUUAA